rnacentral:rRNA from 1 species
CAGCCGCCGCGGGAAUACGAAGGGUGCAAGCGUUAAUCGGAAUUACUGGGCGUAAAGGGUGCGUAGGCGGUUGUUUAAGUCUGUUGUGAAAUCCCCGGGCUCAACCUGGGAAUGGCAAUGGAAACUGGACGGCUAGAGUGUGUCAGAGGAUGGUGGAAUUCCCGGUGUAGCGGUGAAAUGCGUAGAGAUCGGGAGGAACAUCAGUGGCGAAGGCGGCCAUCUGGGACAACACUGACGCUGAAGCACGAAAGCGUGGGGAGCGAACAGGAUUAGAUACCCCCGUAGUCCCUGUCUCUUAUAA